rnacentral:rRNA from 1 species
UACAGAGGGGGCAAGCGUUGUCCGGAAUUACUGGGCGUAAAGGGCGCGUAGGCGGCCUGCUAAGUCGAACGUGAAAUCCCCGGGCUCAACCCGGGAACUGCGUCCGAUACUGGUUGGCUUGAAUCCGGGAGAGGGAUGCGGAAUUCCAGGUGUAGAGGUGAAAUUCGUAGAUAUUCGGAGGAACACCGAUGGCGAAGGCAGGUCUCUGGGCAUUAACUGACGCUGAGGAGCGAAAGCAUGGGGAGCGAACAGG